rnacentral:rRNA from 1 species
GACGAACGCUGGCGGCGCGCCUAACACAUGCAAGUCGAACGGAGCUUAAAGAGCUUGCUUUUUGAGCUUAGUGGCGAACGGGUGAGUAACGCGUGAGUAACCUGCCCUGGAGUGGGGGACAACAGUUGGAAACGACUGCUAAUACCGCAUAAGCCCACGGAUCCGCAUGGAUCUGCGGGAAAAGGAUUUAUUCGCUUCAGGAUGGACUCGCGUCCAAUUAGCUAGUUGGUGAGGUAACGGCCCACCAAGGCGACGAUUGGUAGCCGGACUGAGAGGUUGAACGGCCACAUUGGGACUGAGACACGGCCCAGACUCCUACGGGAGGCAGCAGUGGGGGAUAUUGCACAAUGGGGGAAACCCUGAUGCAGCGACGCCGCGUGGAGGAAGAAGGUUUUCGGAUUGUAAACUCCUGUCGUUAGGGACGAUAAUGACGGUAC